GGGGAUGGGCUGUAGCUCAGUCGUACAGCAUCUGCCUUGAAUGCAGAAGAGCCCAAGUUCAAUUCCUAGCAUCUCUCA